CGCUGGAAGUCAUGCUCCGUCACGAGGUGCGCGCCGCUGCGCACCUCUUCCGCGCAGGUCCGACUAGGCGCGGAGUUGGUCCUGGCGGGGCAUCCUGUGCGCGGCGCGAGUGCAUUUUUUUAGGGUCAUGAAGCCCAAUGAGAAACCCCACUGUGAAGCGCUGUACGGCAAAAGGUCUUCACACCACAGAUAAUAUUAGGAGAGAAAGAAGUAUGUGCUGUUGCAGAAUAAACG